rnacentral:rRNA from 1 species
AGUGAACGCUGGCGGUAGGCCUAACACAUGCAAGUCGAACGGCAGCACAGUAAGAGCUUGCUCUUACGGGUGGCGAGUGGCGGACGGGUGAGGAAUACAUCGGAAUCUACUUUUUCGUGGGGGAUAACGUAGGGAAACUUACGCUAAUACCGCAUACGACCUACGGGUGAAAGCAGGGGAUCUUCGGACCUUGCGCGAUUGAAUGAGCCGAUGUCGGAUUAGCUAGUUGGCGGGGUAAAGGCCCACCAAGGCGACGAUCCGUAGCUGGUCUGAGAGGAUGAUCAGCCACACUGGAACUGAGACACGGUCCAGACUCCUACGGGAGGCAGCAGUGGGGAAUAUUGGACAAUGGGCGCAAGCCUGAUCCAGCCAUACCGCGUGGGUGAAGAAGGCCUUCGGGUUGUAAAGCCCUUUUGUUGGGAAAGAAAAGCAGCAGGUUAAUACCUCGCUGUUUUGACGUUACCAAAAGAAUAAGCACCGGCUAACUUCGUG